rnacentral:rRNA from 1 species
GACGAACGCUGGCGGCGUGCUUAACACAUGCAAGUCGAACGGAAAGGCCCUGCUUUUGUGGGGUGCUCGAGUGGCGAACGGGGGAGUAACACGUGAGUAACCUGCCCUUGACUUUGGGAUAACUUCAGGAAACUGGGGCUAAUACCGGAUAGGAGCUCCUGCUGCACGUGGGGGGUUGGAAAGUUUCGGCGGUUGGGGAUGGACUCGAGGCUUAUCAGCUUGUUGGUGGGGUAGUGGCGUACCAAGGGUUUGACGGGUAGCCGGCCUGAGAGGGUGACCGGCCACAUUGGGACUGAGAUACGGCCCAGACUCCUACGGGAGGCAGCAGUGGGGAAUAUUGCACAAUGGGCGGAAGCCUGAUGCAGCAACGCCGCGUGCGGGAUGACGGCCUUCGGGUUGUAAACCGCUUUCGCCUGUGACGAAGCGUGAGUGACGGUACUGGGUAAAGAAGCACCGGCUAACUACGUG